UACGAAGGGGGCUAGCGUUGUUCGGAAUUACUGGGCGUAAAGCGUGCGUAGGUGGUUCGUUAAGUCUGAUGUGAAAGCCCUGGGCUCAACCUGGGAAUUGCAUUGGAUACUGGCGGGCUAGAGUGCGGUAGAGGAUGGCGGAAUUCCCGGUGUAGCAGUGAAAUGCGUAGAGAUCGGGAGGAACAUCCGUGGCGAAGGCGGCCAUCUGGACCAGCACUGACACUGAGGCACGAAAGCGUGGGGAGCAAACAGG
rnacentral:rRNA from 1 species